rnacentral:rRNA from 1 species
GACGAACGCUGGCGGCGUGCCUAAUACAUGCAAGUUGAGCGCUGAAGGUUGGUACUUGUACCGACUGGAUGAGCAGCGAACGGGUGAGUAACGCGUGGGGAAUCUGCCUUUGAGCGGGGGACAACAUUUGGAAACGAAUGCUAAUACCGCAUAAAAACUUUAAACACAAGUUUUAAGUUUGAAAGAUGCAAUUGCAUCACUCAAAGAUGAUCCCGCGUUGUAUUAGCUAGUUGGUGAGGUAAAGGCUCACCAAGGCGAUGAUACAUAGCCGACCUGAGAGGGUGAUCGGCCAAAUUGGGACUGAGACACGGCCCAAACUCCUACGGGAGGCAGCAGUAGGGAAUCUUCGGCAAUGGACGAAAGUCUGACCGAGCAACGCCGCGUGAGUGAAGAAGGUUGUCGGAUCGUAAAACUCUGUUGGUAGAGAAGAACGUUGGUGAGAGUGGAAAGCUCAUCAAGUGACGGUAACUACCCAGAAAGGGACGGCUAACUACGUG